rnacentral:rRNA from 1 species
UACGUAGGGUGCAAGAGUUGUCCGGAAUUAUUGGGCGUAAAGAGCUCGUAGGCGGUUCGUCACGUCGGCUGUGAAAACCUGAGGCUCAACCUCAGGCCUGCAGUCGAUACGGGCGGACUUGAGUACUGCAGGGGAGACUGGAAUUCCUGGUGUAGCGGUGAAAUGCGCAGAUAUCAGGAGGAACACCGGUGGCGAAGGCGGGUCUCUGGGCAGUAACUGACGCUGAGGAGCGAAAGCGUGGGGAGCGAAC